GAUGAACGCUGGCGGCGUGCCUAAUACAUGCAAGUCGAGCGAACGGACGAGAAGCUUGCUUCUCUGAUGUUAGCGGCGGACGGGUGAGUAACACGUGGAUAACCUACCUAUAAGACUGGGAUAACUUCGGGAAACCGGAGCUAAUACCGGAUAAUAUUUUGAACCGCAUGGUUCAAAAGUAAAAGACGGUCUUGCUGUCACUUAUAGAUGGAUCCGCGCUGCAUUAGCUAGUUGGUAAGGUAACGGCUUACCAAGGCAACGAUGCAUAGCCGACCUGAGAGGGUGAUCGGCCACACUGGAACUGAGACACGGUCCAGACUCCUACGGGAGGCAGCAGUAGGGAAUCUCCCGCAAUGGGCGAAAGCCUGACGGAGCAACGCCGCGUGAGUGAUGAAGGUCUUCGGAUCGUAAAACUCUGUUAUUAGGGAAGAACAUAUGUGUAAGUAACUGUGCAUAUCUUGACGGUACCUAAUCAGAAAGCCACGGCUAACUACGUG
rnacentral:rRNA from 1 species